CCUACGGGAGGCAGCAGUGAGGAAUAUUGGUCAAUGGACGAGAGUCUGAACCAGCCAAGUAGCGUGAAGGAUGACUGCCCUAUGGGUUGUAAACUUCUUUUAUAUGGGAAUAAAAUGUUCCACGUGUGGGAUUUUGUAUGUACCAUAUGACUAAGGAUCGGCUAACUCCGUGCCAGCAGCCGCGGUAAUACGGAGGAUCCGAGCGUUAGCCGGAUUUAUUGGGUUUAAAGGGAGCGUAGGUGGAUUGUUAAGUCAGUUGUGAAAGUUUGCGGCUCAACCGUAAAAUUGCAGUUGAAACUGGCAGUCGUGAGUACAGUAGAGGUGGGCGGAAUUCGUGGUGUAGCGGUGAAAUGCGUAGAUAUCACGAAGAACUCCGAUGGCGAAGGCAGCUCACUGGACUGCAACUGACACUGAGGCUCGAAAGUGUGGGUAUCAAACAGGAUUAGAUACCCGUGUAGUC
rnacentral:rRNA from 1 species